UACGUAGGGGCUAGCGUUAUCCGGAAUUACUGGGCGUAAAGGGUGCGUAGGUGGUUUCUUAAGUCAGAGGUGAAAGGCUACGGCUCAACCGUAGUAAGCCUUUGAAACUGGGAAACUUGAGUGCAGGAGAGGAGAGUGGAAUUCCUAGUGUAGCGGUGAAAUGCGUAGAUAUUAGGAGGAACACCAGUUGCGAAGGCGGCUCUCUGGACUGUAACUGACACUGAGGCACGAAAGCGUGGGGAGCAAACAGGAUUAGAUACCCCGGUAGUCCCUGAGCGGG
rnacentral:rRNA from 1 species